rnacentral:lncRNA from 1 species
UUAAAAUUAGGUGACAAAAAUAUAGCUAUUUUCCAUGGUCAAGCAACCCAAAGGCAGAGAAAAAACAAGAUCAGGAGGUUACAAAAUGCACAUGGAAAGGAUACAAAAGAUCCCCAAGAAAUAGAAGAAAUAGCAAGAUCCUACUUCCAGAAUUUAUUUGCUUCAGAAAAUCAAGAGAAUCUCGACUAUUUACUCUUGGGUAUUGGUCGAUGUAUCUAUGAAGAGGAAAAUAAAAAGCUGACUGCGCAAUAUACAGGAGAAGAAAUCCGCGAUGCUUUGUUCGAGAUGGCACCCACUAAGGCACCAGGCGAAGAUGGAUUCCCAGCUUUAUUUUAUCGGAAGUGUUGGCAUUUUAUUGGAGAGGAUGUAGUUUCCUUCUGUCUACAACUCUUGAAUGAAGAUAUGGAGGUUAGUUCAAUUAAUACAACUCAUAUUGUGCUUAUUCCAAAAACUAAUAAUCUCGCUAAUAUGACACAUUUUAGGUCAAUUAGUUUAUGCAAUGUCAUUUAUAAAAUAAUGGAAAAAGCUAUAGCGAACAAAUUUAGAGGAGUGAUUGAUAAAUGCAUUGAUAGUGCACAAAGUGCCUUUGUGCCAGGAAGAUUAAUCUCAGAUAAUGUUCUGCUUGCUUACGAGAUAUUGCAUUCCCUAAAACAGAAAAGAGUGAGGAAAAAGGGCUAUAUGGCUGUAAAAUUGAAUAUGAGUAAGGCUUACGAUAGAGUUGAAUAGAAUUUUAUUAAAGAAAUAAUGUGUCGAAUGGGUUUCGCAUGAAGUUGGAUUGAUACUAUUAUGAAAUGCAUGACUACCGUUUCUUACAAGGUUGUGGUAAAUUGAAAUGUUGGGGUGACAUUUAGUUCAUCGAGGGACUUCGACAAGGUGAUCCUUCGAGUCUAUUUCUUUUCUUAAUAUGUGGGGAAUGCCUUUCCAGUCUUAUGAGAAAAGCAACAAAUGAAGGUUUUUUGAAGGGUGUCAAAGUAAGCAGAAGAGGACCACAUGUAUCACAUUUAUUUGUAGAUGAUUGCAUUCGUUUUGGGGAGGCAACAUGUAGAGGGGCUAAUACAAUCAAAGAAAUCUUAAGUGAGUAUAAAAGAGGUUCGGGACAGUGUGAAUAUGGACAAAUCAACUAUUUUUCUCAGCAAAAAUACGACGGCAGAAGAAAUAAGUCAGGUGGUAAACUUGCUAGGAAUCCAAAGCUCAAAUGAACCAGAACGUUAUCUAGGUUUGCCGACCAUGGUAGGACGAAAAAAGAAGGCUUCUUUUCAGGCUUUGAAACAUAGACUAAGAGGGCAUAUUGAUAACUGGAGCAUUAGAUUUUUAUCGCAGGGCGGGAAAGAAGUUUUCAUCAAAGCUGUAUUACAGGCCAUCCCGACAUAUUCAAUGGCUUGCUUCUUACUCCCAAAAAUUUUAUGCGAAGAAAUGGAAGGAAUUAUCGCGAAACUUUGGUGGAAAAAGGGUCAAGGUAAAGGGGAAUUCAUUGGUGCUCUUGGAAUAAUCUUUGCAAUUUAAAAGAAAAGGGAGGUUUGGGUUUUCGUAAUCUCAGUCAGUUUAAUAUUGCGUUAUUAGCCAAACAGGGGUGGCGUCUUUUUAAUUAUCCAAAUUCACUUUUAGCUAGAGUCUUUAAAGCAAAGUAUUAUCCACAGUCUGUUUUUUUAAGUGCAGAGUUUGGGGAAUUUACCUUCUUACCUGGAAGAGUAUCUGGGCAGUAAAGAAACUCCUCCUUCAGGGGCUAAGUUGGAGAGUUGGGAAAAGAAACAAUGUUUUCAUCUGGACAGAUCGGUGGAUUCCAAGGAUUGAACCUAGUACAUGGCAGAAUGAAGAUGAAAAUAGGGAGCUAAAAACAGUAUCAGAUUUAAUUGAUGGAACAAAUAAGAAGUGGAAAACGGAGGUCAUUAUUAGUACCUCUCAAUCGGAUAUAGCUAAAAAAAUUUUGGAGAUACCACUUGCAGAAAUGGACAGUGAAGACUUGCGCGUUUGGAAAGGUAAACCGACCGGAGAGUUCUCUGUACGGAGCACCUAUAAACUAUUACAAGAAGUUGAUUUAAUUUCUAAUAACUUAUUACAGACUGAUUUUAAAGAAUUCUAGAGAAAGUUAUGGGAUUUACAACUUCCAUCAAAAACUCUACUGUUUGUCUGGCGGAUAUCCUGGAACUAUAUUCCUACACUAGCCAACCUACGAUACAAGCGAAUAACCACAAAUGUGAGAUGCCCUCGAUGUGGCUUCGGGGAAGAGGACAACUUCUAUGUAUUCCAGUAAUGCCUUACAAGUACUGAAGUUUAGCAUAAUAUUAACAUGGAUUGGGUUACAUCAUAUUCAGAUCAAAAUACCAGAACAUGGCUUACAUGGGUAUUUGCAAAAGGAACUAAGGAACAGUGUCAGAUGUUUUGCUACGCUUUAUGGAUCAUAUGGAGCUCAUGAAAUCAAAUGGCACAUGAAAAAAAACACGCAUUAGAAAGGGACCUUGCACAGAAAAUAGAGAGCUAUAUAGCAGAACUUGAAGGAGUGGGUAAAGAAAGAUGUACCUUGAAGACUGCCAGAAUAUAGAGACAUACGGAGGAGAAAACGGAGGACACAACACAAUUUGAUGCAGCUUUUGAUGCAAACAGGUCCAGAUCGGCGUCGGGGGUCAUUGUAUGAAACCGGAUAGGAGAGAUGAGAGUCUUAAAAACAACCCUUCAUUCCAAUGUCUCAUCCCCAUUUCUUGCAGAGGCAUUCGCUUGUCUACAGGCAAUCAAGCUGGGUAUUUCACUGGGCCUCCGAUCAGUCACAAUAAGGGGAGAUUCGAAGACAAUCAUUAAAAAAUGUCAAUCGGCAGGGAUGGAUAAAUCGAUCAUUGGAGCAGUUAUCAAUGAUAUCAAGAGUCAUAGUUCGCUAUUUCAAGAAAUAGAUUUUCAGUUUAUUCAAAAAUCAAAGAACUUCCAAGCCCACAAAAUAGCGAAGGAAACAUUAGCAAAUGGGGAAGAGAGGUACUUGGUUAGAGAUGAGUCGAUCUACAACGAAGGAGCCAUGGAAGAGGAAUGGUCAAGAAACCCGGAUUGAAGAAAAUUUCAAAAAGAAAGAGAAUUGAAAAUGGUAACAGGAUUGAAGAAAGAACGUUUUGGAAACUGUUAUCUGCCAAAUAGAUGUGACGAUUCAGCAUGAAAAGGAGAGAUUUUAAUACGUCCAGGCUGUCUGAUUUGACUGGGUAAUAAUGUUAGGUUUUGUGUUUUUUUCAUUUUUUCGUUUCUAUUUUAUUAGGCUAAAAUUCUGAUGGGUAAACUUUGUAGCCCACCUAUUGCUUUAGGGUGUUUUCAGCAGACUCCAAACCCAAUUAUAUUGGGUAUUAUUGUGUUUUGUUUCCAUUAUUUAUACUAGUCCAGUUAUAUCUUUUUAAAAAAA